rnacentral:rRNA from 1 species
AUGAUGUGGUCGCUGCUGCUGCACGCCGGGCCGGUGGGAGGAGGCGCUCGGGAGCCCGACACACCUGGACGACUGCUGCUACAGCCUCGGGCUGCUAGAGCGCUUCGGAGCAGCUGCUCGUGGAUCCCAAGGAUGAAUGGUUGGCUGCAGGCACGCGGUGGAGAGGUUCGCCGGACGGAGCAGCUGCAGGGCCAUCGCGCGGGAAACGAUGUCACGGCCACGAUUGGUCUGGCGGUGGAGGCCAUGGACGAAGGGGAGGUCCGGCGAGGACGGGGCACCGGCAAACGAAGGCGGCACUGA